rnacentral:rRNA from 1 species
UUUCCGGUUGAUCCUGCCGGAGGUUACUGCUAUCGGGGUUCGACUAAGCCAUGCGAGUCAAAUGUUCUUCGUGAACAUGGCGUACUGCUCAGUAACACGUGGAUAACCUACCCUUAGGUCCGGGAUAACCCCGGGAAACUGGGGAUAAUACCAGAUAAAUCAUGGAUGCUGGAAUGCCCUAUGGUUCAAAGCUCCGGCGCCUAAGGAUGGGUCUGCGGUCUAUCAGGUUGUAGUGGGUGUAACGUACCUACUAGCCGAUGACGGAUACGGGUUGUGAGAGCAAGAGCCCGGAGAUGGAUUCUGAGACACGAAUCCAGGCCCUACGGGGUGCAGCAGGCGCGAACACUUUACAAUGCGGGAAACCGCGAUAAGGGAACCCCGAGUGCCAGCACCAAGUGUUGGCUGUCCAGAUGAUUAAAACUCAUUUGUUAGCAAGGGCCGGGCAAGACCGGUGCCAGCCGCCGCGGUAACACCGGCGGCCCGAGUGGUAACCGUUUUUAUUGGGUCUAAAGGGUCCGUAGCCGGCCUGAUAAGUCUCUUGGGAAAUCUGGCAGCUUAACUGUCAGGCUUCUAAGAGAUACUGUCAGGCUUGGGACCGGAAGAGGUAAGGGGUACUCCAGGGGUAGGAGUGAAAUCUUGUAAUCCUUGGGGGACCAUCUGUGGCGAAGGCGCCUUACCAGGACGGGUCCGACGGUGAGGGACGAAAGCUAGGGGAGCAAACCGGAUUAGAUACCCGGGUAGUCCUAGCCGUAAACGAUGCUCGCUAGGUGUCAGGCACGGUGCGUCCGUGUUUGGUGCCGCAGGGAAGCCGUGAAGCGAGCCACCUGGGAAGUACGGUCGCAAGGCUGAAACUUAAAGGAACUGGCGGGGGAGCACCACAAGGCGUGAAGCUUGCGGUUCAAUUGGAGUCAACGCCGGG